rnacentral:lncRNA from 1 species
GUGUGAGAUUUUGAAGUUUGUUAGGUUUUUAAAAGGUGUUCAACUGCAUGCAUGCGCAGUUGACGUGAAGAUGCUUACAUGAUAAACAAAUUGUGUAAAAUUGUCCUUAAAGGGCAAUAACUCUUUAAUGGAUCAAUUGAAAAUUUUGGUCAUGCUAACUUAUUUGUAGAUCUUAAUUAGCUGAACAUAUUUGCUAUUUACAGCUUAUCUUUAUCAUUAAUACUUUUCAAGAUAAUAACCAAAAACUGCAAAAUUUCCUUAAAAUUACCAAUUUAAUGGCAGCAACCCAACAAUGAGUUAUUACGGGGAUGAAGUCCCAAAUUAUGGUAGGAAAAUCAAUAAAAAUAAAUUUAAAAAAUCGGGAAAAUUUUCCCGAAUUUUUCAUUCUACUAAUGAACUCAAAAUCGUUAACUUUUUUUUCCAGAUCUACUUCCGUUUCCGGUCUGGUUUGCAUGAGACUUUGAAUAAAAUGUAUAUUUAUCAACAUAUCAACAAAUAUAGAAAGGAAUUCAACACCCAAUCAUUUUUAAUAAUUGUUUGAUAUGAAAAAAACGUUACCUGGAUAACAGAGUUUCUUUGUUUACAUUUAUACGAAUACUUAAUAACGUCACAACUAAUCCCUAACAACAAACCAAUAUUGGAACGUUACGUAUGUCCGUUUCUUUUAUCAACAUGUUUGAAUUAGAAAUACAAUAAUACAGACUUCGUUCCCAUUCACAGAUAAUGCCUGCCUCAUAUUAGAUUCAUCUGAAAAUUUCAGGGCUGAUAGAACUUUAUCUCUUAAACACUUUAACCUUAUGACAGAUUUGCUCUAACUGCUUUGGUUUUUGAAAUACGGGUGUAUAAGACAAAAAUUGCAUUUUACCCCUAUGUUCUUCUUUUAGCCAUGUCCGCCAUGUUUUUUUGACGAAACAAAAAACAAAGCACAAAGUUUAUUCUAGAUACCAUAAGGAUCAUUCAGCUCAAGUUUGGUUGGAAUUGGUUCAGUGGUUUCAGAAAAAAAGAUUUUUUAAAGUUUGAAAACAUGAUAAACAAAUUGUGUAUAAUAAAGGGUCAAUUGACAAUUUAGGUCAUACUAACUUAUUUGUAGAUCUUACUUUGCUGAACAUAUUUGCUAUAUACAGUUUAUCGUUAUCAUGAAUACUAUUCAAGAUAAUAACCAAAAACUGCAAAAUUUCCUUAAAAUUACCAAUUUAGUGGCAGCAACCCAAUAAUAGGUUAUCAGAUUCAUCUGAAAAUUUCACAGCUGAUAGAACGUUACCUUAUGAACACUUUAAUCUCCUGUCAGAUUUGCUCUAACUGCUUUGGUUUUUGAGAUGUAAGCCAAAAACUGCAUUUUACCCCUAUGUUCUAUUUUUAACCAUGGCGGCC